UACGUAGGGUGCAAGCGUUAUCCGGAUUUAUUGGGUUUAAAGGGUGCGUAGGCGGAUAAAUAAGUCAGUGGUGGAAGCCUGCAGCUUAACUGUAGAAUUGCCAUUGAUACUGUUUAUCUUGAAUGUAGUUGAGGUGGGCGGAAUAUGACAUGUAGUGGUGAAAUACUUAGAUAUGUCAUAGGACACCGAUUGCGAAGGCAGCUCACUAAGCUAUAAUUGACGCUGAGGCACGAAAGCGUGGGGAGCAAACAGG
rnacentral:rRNA from 1 species